rnacentral:rRNA from 1 species
AACCAGCUCUUCAAGUGGUCGGGACAUUUAUUGGGCUUAAAGUGUCCGUAGCCGGUUUGGCAAGUCCCUGGUUAAAUCUGGUAGCUUAACUAUCAGUCGGCUAGGGAAACUGCCUCGCUAGAGGGCGGGAAAGGUCUGAGGUACUCCAGGGGUAGCGGUGAAAUGCGAUAAUCCUUGGGGGACCACCAGUGGCGAAGGCGUCAGACUGGAACGCGCCUGACGGUGAGGGACGAAAGCCAGGGGAGCGAACGGG